AAUUUUUUCCGGAAAAAAUUUUUUGGUACUAGUCGGGCAGAAUCCCGAAAGGUCGGGCAAUUUUCUUUCCGCCCCCUAAUUUUUUCCUUCCGGUACGCCCAUGUGCCCCCUGAGAAUACUGAAUAUAGCUACUAAAUAUAAUUACAGUUUGUAACAUGAACAAUCAGAUAAGCACCAUUUACAUCAGGGUCUGAAAUUUAUAUUUUUCUCAGUAUCCAAAGGGGAUACCAGGAUUCAAAGUUUAGUAUCCCUCCUGAGAAUCCAGUAUCCCACUUCUGG
rnacentral:lncRNA from 1 species